AUACGUAGGGGGCGAGCGUUGUCCGGAAUGAUUGGGCGUAAAGGGCGCGUAGGCGGCCCGGUAAGUCUGGAGUGAAAGUCCUGUUUUUAAGCCGGGAAUUGCUUUGGAUACUGUCGGGCUUGAGUGCAGGAGAGGUAAGUGGAAUUCCCAGUGUAGCGGUGAAAUGCUUAGAGAUUGGGAGGAACACCAGUGGCGAAGGCGACUUACUGGACUGUAACUGACGCUGAGGCGCGAAAGUGUGGGGAGCAAACAGGAUUAGAUGCCCUGGUAGUCCACACUGUAAACGAUGAAGGCUAGGUGUAGGGGGUAUCGACCCCUUCUGUGCCGCAGUCAACACAAUAAGCAUUCCGCCUGGGGAGUACGGCCGCAAGGUGGAAACUCAAAUGAGUUGACGGGG
rnacentral:rRNA from 1 species